GAUGAACGCUGGCGGUGUGCCUAAUACAUGCAAGUCGAGCGAACAGACGAGGAGCUUGCUCCUCUAACGUUAGCGGCGGACGGGUGAGUAACACGUGGAUAACCUACCUAUAAGACUGGGAUAACUUCGGGAAACCGGAGCUAAUACCGGAUAAUAUAUUGAACCGCAUGGUUCAAUAGUGAAAGACGGUUUUGCUGUCACUUAUAGAUGGAUCCGCGCCGCAUUAGCUAGUUGGUAAGGUAACAGCUUACCAAGGCAACGAUGCGUAGCCGACCUGAGAGGGUGAUCGGCCACACUGGAACUGAGACACGGUCCAGACUCCUACGGGAGGCAGCAGUAGGGAAUCUUCCGCAAUGGGCGAAAGCCUGACGGAGCAACGCCGCGUGAGUGAUGAAGGUCUUCGGAUCGUAAAACUCUGUUAUUAGGGAAGAACAAAUGUGUAAGUAACUAUGCACGUCUUGACGGUACCUAAUCAGAAAGCCACGGCUAACUACGUG
rnacentral:rRNA from 1 species